rnacentral:rRNA from 1 species
GAUGAACGCUGGCGGCGUGCCUAAUACAUGCAAGUCGAGCGAACGGACGAGAAGCUUGCUUCUCUGAUGUUAGCGGCGGACGGGUGAGUAACACGUGGAUAACCUACCUAUAAGACUGGGAUAACUUCGGGAAACCGGAGCUAAUACCGGAUAAUAUUUUGAACCGCAUGGUUCAAAGGCGAAAGACGGUCUUGCUGUCACUUAUAGAUGGAUCCGCGCUGCAUUAGCUAGUUGGUAAGGUAACGGCUUACCAAGGCAACGAUGCAUAGCCGACCUGAGAGGGUGAUCGGCCACACUGGAACUGAGACACGGUCCAGACUCCUACGGGAGGCAGCAGUAGGGAAUCUUCCGCAAUGGGCGAAAGCCUGACGGAGCAACGCCGCGUGAGUGAUGAAGGUCUUCGGAUCGUAAAACUCUGUUAUUAGGGAAGAACAUAUGUGUAAGUAACUGUGCACAUCUUGACGGUACCUAAUCAGAAAGCCACGGCUAACUACGUG